UACGUAGGGUCCGAGCGUUAAUCGGAAUUACUGGGCGUAAAGCGUGCGCAGGCGGUUUUGUAAGCCAGAUGUGAAAGCCCCGGGCUCAACCUGGGAACUGCAUUUGGGACUGCAAGGCUGGAGUACGGCAGAGGGAGGUGGAAUUCCACGUGUAGCAGUGAAAUGCGUAGAGAUGUGGAGGAACACCGAUGGCGAAGGCAGCCUCCUGGGCUAGUACUGACGCUCAUGCACGAAAGCGUGGGGAGCAAACAGGG
rnacentral:rRNA from 1 species